GCUGCUCGCAUUCCCGCUCCUGCUUUAACACAUCAAACACACAGCGAGGAAGGGAAAGAGGAACUGGUUCGUGGGAGGAGGGUGUCCGAUGCUCCAGCCUCUGCUGCUCCAGCUGCCACCGCCACCGUUUCUCCACCCAGCCAGACGCCGCGGGGGAGGGGAAGCGAGCACGCUAGCUGGAGACCACGAGAAAACAAACGGCCGCCUCCACCUCGCCUCCAACCCCACAGUUUUCAUAAUUAACUCUAGCUGUAAAUAAGAAAACAUACGUGGCAACAUCUUGGAAAUACACUUAGAGUCACUGUCAGUUCUGAGAAGUCAGACUUGUGAACCACGGUCCUAUCCUGGCACCAAUUCAAGUAAACAUGACUGCCAAAGAAUUUUUCAAGGUCCAGAUAAGUUGAUACCAGACAUUGAUCAAGGCACAUCUGAAAGUCCAAGAUCCUGAUUGAAGGGUAUGCUACCCAUUGAAAUCACUCUUUGUUUAACAGGAAGCAGGGAAAUGUGAAGUGACUUGAGUAAUAGAAGAAUGUAAAUAAGUCUCUUUAUAACUGAAGGGGUUAUUGAGAUUACUUCAGAAGUUUUAAAGUAAUUUGAAUAAAUUAUCUAUAUGUUUUUCCUAUAA